ACAAGAAUCUACAGGUCGAGCAAGUCUCGUAAAUUUCACGAUUGCGAGCCACGCUUCACGCAACCGUGUUUGCGUACUUGUGUUUCAAGUUGCGUGGUCGUACGGAGUUAUAUUUACCAAAUUUAAAUAUAAUCGUUUUCAAAAUUAAAUCAAUAUGUCAAUAUGGCUACUGGGUGUAAAAGAUAAAUCUUAUUCUAUCUGUUCUUAAUGAGUUUUAGAUAAUUUUAGUUGUAUUUCUUUGUAAUUUUGUGUUGUACAAAGAUUAAUUUAACAUUUUCUCUGGAAGUAUUCAUUUAGAAAGAUAAUAUGCUUCAUUGGUGUUGUGUUUUGAAGUGUGAUAAAGUCAAGAUAAAGUUCACUUUUAAACUGAACUAAAUAAGGUAUCUGAGAGACAACAAUGGUUAAAUGCAAUACAAUGUACAGGUUUUACUAGCGAAAUGAAAAUUUUCCUGUCCUGUCUGCUGUAAUCAUUUUAUAUCUGGAAAACCAGCCGACUUAAUAGAUAAUAACAAUCUCCAGAUUGGGUUCCUUCAAUAAAUAUGGUCUAUAAACACAAUGAAAUAAGUUCCCCAAAAUCUAAAAUGGAGUGGUAUCAAAGGAGAAUUAAAGGGAAAAAUAUUCAUAUUGAAAUUAUUUAUAAGGCACUGGACUGUCUUAAAUUCUACAAUAAUACUAGAAUCAGCUGAGAGAAGUGGUCUACAAAAAAACCAGGAAGGAAACGGAAUAUGUGGCUACGAAAGGCAAAAGAAAGGUUUACAAAGCAAAUGUGACACAUUUUUUUGAAAUAUUUAGGAAUAUCAGUAAAUUGCAUUAAAAAAAUGUAUGAAAAGAUUUUGUUCAAUAAAAAUGUUUAUAUUUAUCAAGGAUGUAUUAUUUGGUAUGGCCACAUAUCGUCAGUGAUGUAAUAAUACAUCCUAUCUGUUUUUUCAUGAGUUUUGUAAGAGAGACUAAAAACUUGUCUUAGGGUCACCUCCUGUUUUCAUAUGAUAUUUUUUGACUUGUUUUGUAGUAAAUUAAACUAUCUAUGAACUACAAAACAAGUCAAAACUUACAUAUGAACACAGGAGGUGACCUUAAAACAUGUUUUUCCAUCUCUCAUACAAAACUCAUGAAAAAACAGAUAGGAGGUAUUGUCACAUCAGCAAGGAUGUACAGUGAUGAGUGCCCUAAUAACCGGCAAAAUAUUUAGUUGU